UACAGAGGGGGCAAGCGUUGUUCGGAAUUACUGGGCGUAAAGGGCGCGUAGGCGGCCUGCUAAGUCGAACGUGAAAUCCCCGGGCUCAACCCGGGAACUGCGUCCGAUACUGGCAGGCUUGAAUUCGGGAGAGGGAUGCGGAAUUCCAGGUGUAGCGGUGAAAUGCGUAGAUAUCUGGAGGAACACCGGUGGCGAAGGCGGCAUCCUGGACCGAAAUUGACGCUGAGGCGCGUAAGCCAGGGGAGCAAACGGG
rnacentral:rRNA from 1 species